UCCGCGCGCUCUGCAGAAAAGGAUUUGCUACGCCCCCCGCCCAUCACUUGGAUCUUAUCUGGGGAGGGGUGGGAUUUUUUUCUGGAAGUCUCCCCCCGGCCCCGGUGGAGGAUUUGAGGCUGGGCUCCAAUCGAGGCGGAGGCUGCAGGGCCCGCGGGGCGCCCCCGCCCCGCGCACGCCUCCCCGGAGCCCUGGAAGGCGCAGCCCCGGGGGACCCCCCUGCACCCCGGGAGGUGGCAGCGGCGCCACAGGUCUGAGUAAAUCCUGCUCGCAGCUUCCGGGUUUGUAGACAGCCAGCGUGGAUCUCAAAGCAAAGCCCAAUUUACGACUGAGGUCGGUCUCAGCAGUGAGCUUAGAAGCAGCAAAGCCAGAAGAAGGCUCCAGAGGAGGUAGGUGGCUCUGCUUUUUCUCUUAUUUUUCUGCCAGCACCUUCUACCCCACUUCCGGUAACAGACCAGACACCCAGUGGGCCUACGGCCAAAGAUGGCCACUCACGGCCUCCAUCCUGCUACAGUAAUUGGUCCAGGUGGGGACACGUGAGCCAAUGUGGCCAAUCACAGCAGCCCACCUCUGAGCCGGGCCACAGUGAUUGGUCCAGUGUGGUCAUGUGACCCAAGCGUGGCCAAUCCAGGAUGGUCCCUACUACAGCUGGGGAAAGGUUGCCGCUUUCUCCCUCAGCAUCCAGAGCUGCUUGUGACCCCAGAGACCCCAGGCACAGAGGGCAGGGGAGAUGAGAGAUAGGGUGGAGGGAGGGGAGUAGGAGAGAGGUGCGCUGCCCUGUGACCCCAGAGCCUUCCAGCCCUGCGUCCAAGAGCAGCCCAGCUUCUCCCUUUCUUCACCGUAGCUCCCCGAGUGAAUUAAAUCCCCAUCUUGCCUCAAUCCGAUCAACUCUGGUUUCUGUGCGGCCCAACACGUCCCAAUUUAGGGCGUGGGACUGUUUCCCUCUUCGUGGAUUGUGUGAAACUAAAAGGGGUAGGUCAGCCUCAGAGCUCAUUCUCCCCGGGCUGUGCCUCCAGCACUUGAGAAUAAAAGCAUCGCCAGACACAUCUCCAUCCCCCCAUUAAUUUCCCACUGAAUCAGAGCUAAACACUUGCUCUUGGACUUCAGGUUCCACCCUAUUGCUGCUUGCCUCCGUCUCCCCAACCUCACCCCGAAAACACCCCCUUCUCCUCUUUGCUGCGCUCUCCACCAUGGGCGGAGCGUGCUGCUUGUCCCGGCCGCUGCUCCGAUGCCCCCCAUGUUAUAUUUGUAAUGAUUUUGUUUGACUGGUUCCCCCCAUGAGUGGGGACCUUGAGCAUGGGGACCCGGGCUUCCCCCAUCUUCGUACCCCCGGGUGCUGGCGCGCAGCAGGCAGACAGCAAGCGUGGGAGGGCGGGAGGCAGGGAAGGAUGGAGGAGGGGAGAAAGGGAUGUUCAUUCCUGUUUAUUCUGGUCCAACCAGUGGUCCCUUGGAAGGUCAAGUUUAUAUUCGUUUCCUCUGCUGGAGACUCCCGCGUCAGGUAGACACAGAGCUGUUUCCCUCAUCUCCUUCAGGCCUCUACUCCAAAGUCACCUUCCCCCGGGAACUGCGUUCUCCCAGUCCCCUUCUCGACCCCUGUCCCUCUUCCAUGCUUUCUUGUCCUCUUUAGCACCCUCCACCACCAUCGCUCCUUCUCUGUGGUCCAUUUCUUUUACUUACUCUCUCUCUCACUGAAAUGUCAGCUCCAGGUGGACAGGCAUCUUUGUUUUCUUCUCUGCUGUCUGUAUCCUCAGCACCUAGAACCGUGCUUGUCACCCGGUAGACGCUCAGUACCUAUCUGUGGAAUGAAUGAAUGAAUGAAUGAAUGCUUUGUGUUCACCAAACCACAGUUCUAGCAAACUUGUUUCUUAAAGAACCUAUGCGCUCCAUGCAUUUUCCAGGUGUUAGGAAAGUCAGGUGACGUGUGAGUUUCCCAGGGCCGCUGUAGCAAAUUACUACACAUUGAGUGGCUUAAAACAACAGGAAUUUAUUAUUUCACAGUUCUGGAGGCUAGAAACCCAAAAUCUGGCGGGGCUGCACUGACCCCAGGGGCUCCGGGGGAAAAUCUGUUCCUUGCCUCUUCCAGCUUCCGGUGGCUCCAUGACUUGUGGGCACAUCACUCCAGUCUCUGCUUCUGUCUUCAUACGUUCUUCUUCUCCCUGUGUUUGUCUGUGCUUCUGUCUUAGAAGAAGGCACGUGAUUGCUUUUACUGCUUAUCCAGAUAACCCAGGACAAACUCCUCUCCAGAUCCCUAACUGGAUCACCUCUUUUGUCAUAUAAGGUCAUAUUCACGGGUUCCAGGAACUGGAAGGUGGGCAUACCUUUCUGUUUUUCACAUCUCUUUUUUCACAUUUCUCUUUCAAUCCAUCCAGCCCUUACUGGUUAUUUGCAUAAAGACCAGAAAAGCAGAUUCCCACCACUACUGCAUUGGCCUCACAGAUAUUUAACGAAAAGAGUAUUAUUGUUGUAUUAUCUUGCUCCCAUCCGAGUGUGGAAAUGAUUUUUAAAACACCAUUUUAUGUUUUUUAUUUAUCCUGAUUUUUAAAAAUAAUACCGUGCUUAUGGUAAAAAAAAAAAAAUAGUACAGAAGAGAAAAAUGUGGGAAAUAAAGGAGCGUCUUUGCAAUUUUUCUCUAACUCCAAUUUCACUUUCUGAAAAGUAGCUACUGUAUGCGGUUGGCAUAAUCGUCAUAAAUUUUCUAAGCAUUUUCGAGUGCCUGCACUUUCUCUGCUCAUAACGUUAAGAAAAUCGGGUGUGCUCCCAUAUAUCCUGAAGACACGACAGCCCUCAGACCCACGGCCUUCUUUUUAAAGCCUUGUAGCAUGGCACCGUACCCAGCCUGUCCCUCACUGGCUGACGUUUCAGGUAACUCGAGGAUUUUGCUGUUAUAACAUAUAUAUUUUUGGCAUGUGUCCAAGUAGACUUACAGGAUACAUUCCUAGAAGUGGUCUUUCUCAGUGAGAGGAUAGGUGCAUUUUUAAUUUCUACAGCGACUGCCCAGUGUUCUUCCAAAAGGUUGUAUCAUUCACACGCCCAUCAACAGUGUACGUGCUGUUUCCAGCACCCUCGCCCAACCUGGCAAGGACGCGGUGUGUCAGGGGAAGCAAAUCCUAAAUGAGGUAAGUGGGCUUUCCCUGUGGCCUGGGUAGGGGUGGACAUGGCCUCCGAGGUUGUCCCUGUGGCUCUCUGAGGUGCUAAGCCGUCCAGAGCUCUCGUUAGUUUGGGUUUUAUAAACAAAGACAGAGUUUGGGGAGGUGAGCCAGAACCGUGCAGCAAGAAGCGUUAUGCAACUCAGUAUUUAUUUCUUUAGUGCAGUUAGAACUUAAAUAUGGUCAAAACAUAUUCUUCUUUUAAUUUACACAAACAAAUAUGUUCCCAGGCUGACACCUCGGGUGCCAAGUUUCUAGGGGAAACGAAAUUCUCCUCUGAGAUUAUAAACCACUAGAGAGAAGAUGGAAAUGGAAAAGCCACCGCGAGUCAGCUUCACACAUCCAGAACUGGGCUGCUAAGAGCUGUCUCUUUCUGUCUUAGCUGCGGAGAAACCUGCCAGUAAUUUCAGCAAAUGAAACGUGGGCCGCAGAAAGGCCAGAGGAUGGAAGAUGCUCCGGUUUUGACAAAAGGAGGUCUGCUCAGCUUGGAAUCCUCUCUCCUGUGAGUCAGGAGAUGGAAAGCUAUAUCCAGAGGGGCUGAUGAAUUGAGAGAAAAAGAAACGAGGCCAGUGUGAGUCGCCUUUCAAGGGCUGUGCUAAUAUAAAACCAAACAACUUGAAAUUGUUCCAAGAGGGGAUUAAAGCAACAUGUUAUUUUGA